UACGUAGGCAGCAAGCGUUGUUCGGAGUUACUGGGCGUAAAGAGUGCGUAGGCGGUCCUUUAAGUUUGGUGUGAAAUCUCCCGGCUCAACUGGGAGGGUGCGCCGAAAACUGGAGGGCUUGAGUAUGGGAGAGGCAAGCGGAAUUCCUGGUGUAGCGGUGAAAUGCGUAGAUAUCAGGAGGAACACCUGUGGCGAAGGCGAUCAUCUGGGGUUGUUCUGACGCUCAUGAGCGAAAGCCAGGGGAGCAAACGGG
rnacentral:rRNA from 1 species